rnacentral:tRNA from 1 species
GGCUCCAUGGUGUAGCGGUUAGCACACUGGACUCUGAAUCCAGUAACCCGAGUUCGAGUCUCGGUGGAGCCU